GCUGGGCUUACAUCGGACUCCAAACACACACACAAAGCAGAAGAGUUGAAAAAGAAAAGGGUUGAACACACAGACUAGAAGGGAGUCGGGAACUCGGACCUAAUAGCUGUCAAGCAAAACACACACACACAAAAAGAAAAAGGGCGCCCGGAGAGAUCUCGCACGAUCUCCUGCCUACGUACCUCAUCUGGUAUGAGGAUCAGGGCGACGUAGUUCCCCUGAACAGGGGAAAAAUUUC
rnacentral:lncRNA from 1 species